AUACGAAAGGUGCAAGCGUUGUUCGGAUUUACUGGGCGUAAAGAGAGUGUAGGUUGUUUAUUAAGUCGGAUGUGAAAUCCCGGGGCUCAACCUCGGAACUGCAUUCGAUACUGGUAGACUCGAGUUCGGGAGGGGUAAGCGGAAUUCCGUGUGUAGCAGUGAAAUGCGUAGAUAUACGGAGGAACACCUGAGGCGAAGGCGGCUUACUGGACCGAUACUGACACUGAGACUCGAAAGCGUGGGUAGCAAACAGGAUUAGAAACCCUAGUAGUCC
rnacentral:rRNA from 1 species